GACGAACGCUGGCGGCGUGCUUAACACAUGCAAGUCGAACGGAAAGGCCCUGCUUUUGUGGGGUGCUCGAGUGGCGAACGGGUGAGUAACACGUGAGUAACCUGCCCUUGACUUUGGGAUAACUUCAGGAAGCUGGGGCUAAUACCGGAUAGGAGCUCCUGCUGCAUGGUGGGGGUUGGAAAGUUUCGGCGGUUGGGGAUGGACUCGCGGCUUAUCAGCUUGUUGGUGGGGUAGUGGCUUACCAAGGCUUUGACGGGUAGCCGGCCUGAGAGGGUGACCGGCCACAUUGGGACUGGGAUACGGCCCAGACUCCUACGGGAGGCAGGAGUGGGGAAUAUUGCACAAUGGGCGGAAGCAUGAUGCAGCAACGCCGCGUGCGGGAUGACGGCCUUCGGGUUGUAAACCGCUUUCGCCUGUGACGAAGCGUGAGUGACGGUAAUGGGUAAAGAAGCACCGGCUAACCACGU
rnacentral:rRNA from 1 species